AUUGAACGCUGGCGGCAGGCCUAACACAUGCAAGUCGAACGGUAACAGGAAGAAGCUUGCUUCUUUGCUGACGAGUGGCGGACGGGUGAGUAAUGUCUGGGAAACUGCCUGAUGGAGGGGGAUAACUACUCGAAACGGUAGCUAAUACCGCAUAACGUCGCAAGACCAAAGAGGGGGACCUUCGGGCCUCUUGCCAUCGGAUGUGCCCAGAUGGGAUUAGCUAGUAGGUGGGGUAACGGCUCACCUAGGCGACGAUCCCUAGCUGGUCUGAGAGGAUGACCAGCCACACUGGAACUGAGACACGGUCCAGACUCCUACGGGAGGCAGCAGUGGGGAAUAUUGCACAAUGGGCGCAAGCCUGAUGUAGCCAUGCCGCGUGUAUGAAGAAGGCCUUCGGGUUGUAAAGUACUUUCAGCGGGGAGGAAGGGAGUAAAGUUAAUACCUUUGCUCAUUGACGUUACCCGCAGAAGAAGCACCGGCUAACUCCGUG
rnacentral:rRNA from 1 species